UGAACUUGACCGAGCGGCGAACUCAACUCCGACUGAACCGGAGCCGGGUGACGAUAGUCCGUCGACAACUUCUUAACUGAAACCCCCGAAGAAAACUUGACCAAACGUGGACAAUUGGAUGUGAACUGAAUUGUUUCUACCAUUACGGAUUUUUGUCUGGUCUGGAGUUACAUUCGAGCGUUUAAACAUUUUCUGGACAGAAGCGGGAACGGACAACCAUUUUGCCCUAGCAGGCGGCGAGAGGUCGUGGAGUGCCAGCCUGUGGUAUCUGAGGUCCAAGAGAGGUGACCUGCGCUGUUUUCUUUUGAGGAGAUAUCUGAAGAAUUUCAUCAGAUCACGAGCAAAGACCUUCUGGGGACUUUCAAUGCAUCCCUUGACAAAUUUGUGCCUGGCCUGCUGAAACUGUACAGGUCUAAGAAGGGAACUCUUGGUGAGAAGACGGAAGACCUUCUGGAUAAACUUGAUGAACAGACAUCCAACAUUGUGUCUCACCGAAAGACAGCAGCACUGAGAGGCCUGCCCAUUUUCCUCUGAGAAGAUGUAACAAAGGUUUUCCUGAACUGCUUGGACACUGAUAUUUUGGAACCAGUGCUGAACGGUGCAUCUGUUGCCAUCCUCACCAUCCGACAAGAUGACAAUGCCGAUGCAUUUGUGCGAGACCAGGCAGUUGUGUUUGAAGAGGACAUCGUGCUACAUAACAUUCCAGACCUCUCUACGGCCUUGGCAUACAUCUUUGGCCUUCUGUAUGCCCUCAACAUUGAUUGUCCAAAGCAGAUGAGGUAUACCUUUGAAGCAAUUCAGGCCAUCUUUUUUUAACUCGGUUGUUCAAGAAAAACUCAUGUAUCUAUGCAAAAAAAAAAAAAAAAAAAAAUGUCACCUGUUUCAACUGGCAUAGGGAUGUAGGUGAUUGAAAAUUUUAUUUUUAUUAGAUGAAAUGUUCCCCUCCUGUUGUCCUUUGGUUCAGGAACAAGGAAGGAAGGAUAAGGAGGGAGGGAGGAAUGGAAGAGGAAAGCAGGGGAGGAAAGAAGGAAGGACAGAGGAAGAAAAAAGAGGGAGGGGGUGGGAAGGGAUGGAAGUAGCGGAAGAAUGAAGGCAGGAAAGAAAGAAGGGGGGGGGCAGUCAAAGCAGGAUGGGUCAUUUUGACCUGGUUGGACAAUGUGAAGGUUAAGUGGAUAAAUCAUUGUUAGAUAUGUUUUUAGUCAGAGGAAUCUAUGUUGUUGACAAUAUAUGGUGAGAUUCUGUCAUGCAGUAUUUUAAAAGCUUUGUCGAAGUGUUGCCCACUUCACAUUAAGCGCAGAACUGGUGUUUUAACAGUGAGUUCCCUGUUCAUUGAUGGUGAAAUUUCAAAUAACUUUUAACUGCUCUAGUUCAUUAUAGUUAUGCCCAUGUAAGACUUCUGGGUAUACAGCCAAUCAUUUGUGGCACUAUGCUAUGUACAAGUGGUUAAGUUCGGCUCAGGGUCUGUGCAUGAGUUGCUAUAUGUAGCUGGACACUUUAUUUUUAUUUUUAUUUUCUCCCCUCCCACAUACUUUGUUUUUCUUUUGGUUUUGAACUUCACUGUUAACAUCUGUGCUGUGGCGCUCAAAGCACCCAAAAGAAAAAGAAAACGUCAAUAUUUUCUUUUUUUUACAGAAAUUGACCCGAUUACCCAUGACGUUCUGAAAUGUACUUGAGGCACUGUUAAACAAAAUAAAUAAGA